UGCAAGUCGAACGAGGCCCUUUGUAUUCGUACGAAGGUGUCCUAGUGGCGAACGGGUGAGUAACACGUUGGUGACCUGCCCCAAAGUGGGGGACAACUCCGGGAAACUGGAGCUAAUACCCCAUGUGUUCCAAGGAGUUAAAGGUCCUUGGAAGAAAGGAGUAAUCCGCUUUGGGAGGGGCCUGCGGCCCAUCAGCUAGUUGGUAGGGUAAUGGCCUACCAAGGCUACGACGGGUAGGGGACCUGAGAGGGUGGCCCCCCACACUGGCGCUGAAACACGGGCCAGACACCUACGGGUGGCAGCAGUGGGGAAUAUUGCCCAAUGGACGAAAGUCUGAGGCAGCAACGCCGCGUGCGCGAUGAAGGCCUUCGGGUUGUAAAGCGCUUUUCUGGGGGAAGAGGAAGGACGGUACCCCAGGAAUAAGUCUCGGCUAACUACGUGCCAGCAGCCGCGGUAAAACGUAGGAGGCGAGCGUUAUCCGGAUUUACUGGGCGUAAAGCGUGUGCAGGCGGUUUGGUAAGUCGGGCGUGAAAGCUCCCGGCUCAACUGGGAGAGGCCGUUCGAUACUGCCAGACUAGAGGGCAGCAGAGGAAAGUGGAAUUC
rnacentral:rRNA from 1 species